AGCGAACGUUAGCGGCGGGCUUAACACAUGCAAGUCGAGCGAGAAAGUGGCUUCGGCCAUCAGUAAAGCGGCGGACGGGUGAGUAACACGUAGGUAAUCUUCCUUCGAGCGGGGGACGAACGUUCCGAAGGGACGCUAUACCGCAUACGUUUCUUCGGGACGUCUGGUCCGUGGGAAGGGAAAGCUAGGUCGCAAGAUCCGGCACUCGAUGAGGAGCCUGCGUAGCAUCAGCUAG
rnacentral:rRNA from 1 species